GAUAAACGCUGGCGGCGUGCCUUAUGCAUGCAAGUCGAACGGGUCACUUCGGUGACUAGUGGCGAACGGGUGAGUAACACGUAAGUAACCUGCCCCUAAGUAGGGAAUAACUCUGAGAAAUCGGAGCUAAUACCUUAUGUGGUUCUUCACCUAAGGUGAAGGAUUAAAGCCUUCGGGCGCUUGGGGAGGGGCUUGCGCCCGAUUAGCUAGUUGGUAGGGUAACGGCUUACCAAGGCGAUGAUCGGUAGCUGGUUUGAGAGGACGGUCAGCCACACUGGGACUGAGACACGGCCCAGACUCCUACGGGAGGCAGCAGCAAGGAAUAUUGUGCAAUGGGCGAAAGCCUGACACAGCGACGCCGCGUGGGGGAUGAAGGCUUUCGGGUUGUAAACCCUUUUCUCAGGGAAGAACAAUGACGGUACCUGAGGAAUAAGUCUCGGCUAACUACGUGCCAGCAGCCGCGGUAAUACGUAGGAGGCGAGCGUUAUCCGGAUUUACUGGGCGUAAAGAGGGCGUAGGCGGUCCUUCAAGUCGGAUGUAAAAUCUCCCGGCUCAACUGGGAGGGRCCAUUCGAUACUGCUGGGCUGGAGGAUAGCAGAGGGAGGUGGAAUUCCCGGUGUAGUGGUGAUAUGCGUAGAUAUCGGGAGGAACACCAGUGGCGAAGGCGGCCUCCUGGGCUAUUUCUGACGCUGAGGCCCAAAAGCGUGGGGAGCGAACAGGAUUAGAUACCCUGGUAGUCCACGCUGUAAACUAUGGACACUAGGUAUGGGGAGUAUCGACCCUUUCUGUGCCGAAGCUAACGCCUUAAGUGUCCCGCCUGGGGACUACGGCCGCAAGGCUA
rnacentral:rRNA from 1 species